rnacentral:rRNA from 1 species
CAGCCGCCGCGGUAAUACGUAGGGUGCAAGCGUUAAUCGGAAUUACUGGGCGUAAAGCGUGCGCAGGCGGUUCGGAAAGAAAGAUGUGAAAUCCCAGAGCUUAACUUUGGAACUGCAUUUUUAACUACCGGGCUAGAGUGUGUCAGAGGGAGGUGGAAUUCCGCGUGUAGCAGUGAAAUGCGUAGAUAUGCGGAGGAACACCGAUGGCGAAGGCAGCCUCCUGGGAUAACACUGACGCUCAUGCACGAAAGCGUGGGGAGCAAACAGGAUUAGAUACCCUGGUAGUCCACGCCCUAAACGAUGUGAACUAGCGGUUGGGGCCUUCGGGCCUUGGUAGCGAAGCUAACGCGUGAAGUUGACCGCCUGGGGAGUACGGUCGCAAGAUUAAAACUUAAAGGAAUUGGCGGG